AAUUUCACACCGGUAUAAUGGGAGCAUCCUGGGCGAGCAUGUCGUCGAGACAUGUUAAGGGAGGGAAAGGCUUCGAAAUCGUUGGUCAGACGGUGGCUCUUACCCAACACUGGAAAUAAGUAAAACUUUUAAGCUUGUGGAACGUGCCCUUGUCACAUGUACAACUCGUGUACUUAUUCGUCUAGGAGCUGCAUGCCAAUAGCACCCUUAGCCAACAGACAGCUGGCUUUAAGGGAACCGCCUUGGUUCGCCUCCCUUACAAUGCCAUCAAGUAUCACGCGCCGAUAGUAGACCUGUCACGCUCAUAGAGGAAUGCUCGCCGUUGACAGGACGCGGGGACCACAACAAGGCGCGGAUUACACGUCGCUACGCUGGCCACCGCUCUUUUACCAAGUUUCCAAGUUUUUAAAUCCAACGUUGUGUGGGCACCAACUCUGUACCCUCUUCUUUCAAGGUCAAGGAGGUUUAAGGCGUUUGGCUUUCUGUUUGGUGGCACGGUUGGCAAAGCAGCCGCCUCGCUUAGCAAGUCUUGGCUAGCAACCCAGUGCAACGCUAGUCACCCACUUCAGGCCCCCUUAGCCAACUACCAAAACGAGCAAGGCGGGGCAACAAAACGGCGCAGUUCCAACCUAUGACUAGUCGCUCGGAAAGGAGUGGUUGGGCCGGCAUGUGGGUUGAUGGAUAACAGUGCGGGCAAUGCCCCACCAGCUGUUGAAGGUCCCUGUGGUGGUUCACGAGUUCAUGUACCCGCGCGGGCGUCGGGUUUCGGCACCUUCCUGGCCGGCUUGCGCUCACGCUCUUGGGUAAUUUGGCUUCAGCUGACGUCAGGUUUGUCCGGAGGUGCUUUGUUUGUUUGGGUUUAGGGCUUGUUUGCGUGGUGUCGUUUCCAUGGCCAGGCACCCAGGAAUUACACGUUAAUGCACGUUUGCCGUGAAAAUAAGGUUGUAUUGAUGGCCUCAAUUGUUUAAACAUAUGGGAGUUUGGUCUAGUGGCAUGAUUCUCGCUUCGGGUGCGAGAGGUCGUGGGUUCGAUUCCCGCAACUCCCCCAUGCAUCUUUUUUCAUGCCCCACCGCUAAUCUGCGGUCACUUCCGAGCCUCGAGUAUUAGCCUUCCGUGCCUUUCUUGGACCAUUCAUAGUGAUAUGAAAAGAACGACGGCGUCUUCUUGCGCCGCGCUGAUGCCAUCGCAAUCACAACGACAUUACUUCCCAUUCAUCCUGGCGUUUUCGUUUCUAAGCACGUCAUAGGUCAAGCAGCUGAAGCGCUUCUCAUAUUCCCCGCACACCCUACCUAGUUAAUGGUGUUUCACACGACUCAACGGCGGGCUGCCGUUUUCAUCUGUGUCGAGUGGAAGCCAAGCUGGCUGCCCGACAGGACGUGCGCGAAAAAAUAAGGCUGGGCGCUCCGGCCCCUGAUGUGAGCAUGUGUAUCCAUGGAGGCUGUGGAGUAGCAUCCCCUGGAGAGUUGGCUCUUGAGCAGGGCAGGGCAGCAUUUAC
rnacentral:lncRNA from 1 species